UACGAAGGGGGCUAGCGUUGUUCGGAAUUACUGGGCGUAAAGCGCGCGUAGGCGGUUUUGCAAGCCAGAGGUGAAAUGCCUGAGCUCAACUCAGGAAUGGCCUUUGGGACUGCGAGGCUUUGAGGACUGGAGAGGUGAGUGGAAUUCCCAGUGUAGAGGUGAAAUGCGCAGAUAUCAGGAGGAACACCAAUGGCGAAGGCAGCUCGCUGGGACGGUACUGACGCUGAGACGCGAAAGCGUGGGGAGCAAACAGG
rnacentral:rRNA from 1 species